GGUAAACGAGCUCCAUAAUGCAUACCUUGUUGGUGUAGUUGACCAAUUGUUUACGGGAUCGUCGGUAGGGUUAGGCCUCUGUUGUGUUAAUGUAGCAGGUGCACGUUAUUAAAAAGGAAAAAAGUGAUCUAACCAAACACGGUCUUUACAUAAUGGUAUUGGAUCGAACGUGUUUAAUAUUUUGCGGAAAUUUUGUUUUCUAUCGCGGGAGUAUACAGGUUACACUAGUUGUCUGUGUUGUUUGUGCGAACGUCUAGGCCCUAGCGUGAACUUAGGUAUGUCGCCUACAAUAUUGCCGCGACUCCCUUGUGUAGCGCUGGUGUGUGUAGAAAAAUUACUGUAGGCCUUACAACCCUGGUUUCAACUUUACUGUUAAAAUUACACCAUGAUGUACAUGAAAAUUGGCAAUCAUGGCAGAAUUCUGUACCAUUCGAAAAAGUAAGCGGCUCAAGAAGAAGGUUGACUACAAGGUCAUGUUCGGUAUUAAAUGUUAUAAUCUGCACAUUUUUAAAAUUGAUGUUAAAACAGGAAUUCAACUUUGUAGUUAAGUAAUAUGUAUCUUCAGUAUUAAAAUUUACAAGGUGUUAUUAAAAUUUACAAGAUGCAACUUUAAAAAAAAUAAUAACUGUGAAAUUUAAUGUUUUUUAAAUAGACCUUUACUCUUUGAAACAUGCUUUUUUGUAGUAAAGCAGGUUGUAAAAUGUUUUGUAGCUAUUUACUGUGAUUUUAUUGUUCACUACUUAAAAUAUUGUUACAAAGUUAAAAUUAUAUUAUAUUUAUGGUAAUCAAUUAAUUAAAAUUAUCAAUGCUUCUUUAUUAACUCAGGUAUGGUGUUAUACAGUGUUAAGGAAUUAACUGUUUAUUUUUAAUGGUAGUCUAUGGUCAGUCUUUCAAUCUUGCACCUUGAAAACAUCAGUUGUGUAAUUCAUAGAGGUAUACCUCCAUGAGUGUAUGUUAACUUCUAAAUUGUAAAUAGAUGUAGUAAUUUCUAAUUAUUUCUCCUUGGUAACAAUUAACAUAGAUUCAUAGUGUUGGUAUUAUAAACAAAUACUGUAAAAUAUUAAAAUAUUAGUUAUCUACAUUGUACUGUAUAUUUUAACAGUGUAAUUAUAAAUGUAGAAACGUUCAAGGAUUUAUAAUAUCCUCAAUAAAAUAUUGUGUUAAGGCAUUCUCUCAGCAUUAA